AUCAAAACCUUUGACAAAAAUAGGGCUUUUCUGGGCAGAUUUUCAAAAAUAGCGUCUGAAUAGGAUUUUGUCCAAAAUGGCUUAUAUUAAUUACUUAAAAAUGGAGAAAUCAACCCCAAAUCCUUAAUUUAAGUGAUUAACAUCAUAUAAUCCCAAUAAAUCAAAGAAUAAGUAUCUAUUUCAUAAACCCAUUUUCAAAGUUUCCCCCUUUUCUUUUCUUUUCUUUUUUCCAACACUAAUCAUUCAAUAUAUAUUUCUUUGACCACAAAUACUUACUAAUAACCUUUAAUUCUUCCUAAAU
rnacentral:lncRNA from 1 species